rnacentral:rRNA from 1 species
CCCGGGACGUUCGCCGUAUUUGAUUUUUAUCCAAGGACAUGCACACAUUUGACUCUUCAAUCCUAAUAAAUACAUCCCUUCCAUGCCCUAGGAGUUUCGAUGUUUGGAUAGGGGGCAAACAUGGUUGCGACGGGUAACGGAGGGUUAGGGCACGACCCCGGAGAAGGAGCCUGAGAUCGGCUACAAGCUGCAAGGAAGGAAGCAGGCGCGCAAAUUACCCAAUCCCGACUCAGGGAGGUAGUGACAAUAAAUACUGAUACAGGGCACUAUUGGGUCUUGUAAUUGGAAUGAGUACAAUUUAAAUCCCUUAACAAGGAACGAUUGGAGGGCAAGUCUGGUGCCAGCAGCCGCGGGAAUUCCAGCUCCAAUAGCGUAUAUUAAAGUUGUUGUGGUUAAAAAGUUCGUAGUUGAACCUUGGGCCUGGCUGGACGGUCCGCCUCACCGCGUGCACUGGCCCACUCCGGGCCUUUC